GAUGAACGCUGGCGGCGUGCUUAACACAUGCAAGUCGAACGGAAAGGCUCCUGCUUGCAGGGGUACUCGAGUGGCGAACGGGUGAGUAACACGUGGGUGAUCUGCCCUGCACUUCGGGAUAAGCCUGGGAAACUGGGUCUAAUACCGGAUAGGACCAUCGUUUAGUGUCGGUGGUGGAAAGUUUUUUCGGUGUGGGAUGAGCUCGCGGCCUAUCAGCUUGUUGGUGGGGUAAUGGCCUACCAAGGCGUCGACGGGUAGCCGGCCUGAGGGGGUGUACGGCCACAUUGGGACUGAGAUACGGCCCAGACUCCUACGGGAGGCAGCAGUGGGGAAUAUUGCACAAUGGGCGCAAGCCUGAUGCAGCGACGCCGCGUGGGGGAUGACGGCCUUCGGGUUGUAAACUCCUUUCGCCAGGGACGAAGCGAAAGUGACGGUACCUGGAUAAGAAGCACCGGCUAACUACGUG
rnacentral:rRNA from 1 species